UUGUCACCUAUCACUUAUUUCAAAUACCUAUAUCUGCAACAAAAUGUUUGUGCAUGUAUAUGUGUGUCUUUGUGUGUGUGUGUGUGUGUGUGUGUGCAUAUGCUUAUAGAGUAUACAUAUAUUAGUCUAAUCAUUUACUUUCAGUGUGUGUGUCUGUCUGUUAGCCUGUUCUCCAUUUUGGAUGUGUUUAACUGUCAUCCAUGCAUCCAGGUUGGCUCUGACCACCUCAGAGGCCUUAAUGUGCUUGAACCCCGGUAAAAUGCUGCUUGCAGCUUUAAUUAGGGGUUCAAGCACGCAGUGCUGAAACCCUAUUGUAAUUGUUAGGAUUUUUAUUAUUAUUAUUAUUAUUAUUCUUCUGCCCUAGAACUGAACGUGCAGCCCAAACCGUAAGGCCUAGAGAGCUGAAAUUUGGACAGAUCGUAGAGCUCAAUUUGGGGAGAACUUAUCAAAGUCUCAGCCCAAUCGGCCUAACGGGGGCGCUACAGCGCAAAAAGCAAAAAUUUUGGACAUUUUUGGCCGUAAAUCGUAUACCGUUAGCCGUAGACUCAAAAACAUGGCAUUGUUGCAAUCCUUGGGUUAGCCCGAACAAAAGUGCACGGCGCCUUUUUGGGGUCUAUGACGCACCGUUUUCUCGCAAAAUCGAGCUAUAUCCGAAACCUACUUUUGCGAACUAGUCCUAGGAUUUUCAACCAAUCAGAACCAAACCACUUCAGAAAUAUUCCCUGGACACUCAAUAUCAAUAAUUAUCAAAAAAAAGUUGAAAUUUCAAUUCUUACGCGAAACAGUACACCAAAAAGCGUCUAUGCUAACGUUAGCCAAAUGCUAUUUUGACUAUAACUCUUGAACGGAAUGAGAUAUCUUCACCAAACUCGGUACACAUAUGUACGAGCUCAAUCUUUGGUCAAAUCAAAAAAAUUGCGCAUCUCUGCCACUUGGGGGCGCUAUACGAUAGAAAAAACACAUAAAUUGCUAUAACUAGGCAACCGUUGGGUCGAUCGACUUGAAAAUCAGUAUGCAGUGUCUUGGUCUGAAGGGGCACAAGUACCUAUGAGGACAUUUGCAUAUCUCAAAAAACAUGGCCGCCAUUGGCCAAACAAAUUUAAGCACCUAUUUGAAAGGGUUAACGGAUGUUGAUCGGAACGAAACUCGCUGGGUACGUUCGACUCAUGAACCUUAAGGUCUGUAAGAAUUUUGAAAGAAAUCGGCCACUAGUUGGCGCUAACGAGUUUUAUGGCUCUGUAAUCACGUGGUGUUUCACAUAUCAACACAAUAUGCAUAUCAUUUGAUAGAUCUCCUCGUAAUGCACAACUUUGCCUCAAGAACCAUUGCUGUCAAUCAAAUCGUUCAAUUGUUAUUCACAAAUAUGUUAAAAACCUACUUUUGCGAACUAGUCCUAGGUUUUUUGCCCGAUCGGAACCAAACCACUGCAGUAAUAUUCUGUGGACUCUCUAGAUCAAUAAUUAUUAAAAAAAUGUUGAAUUUUGUCCUUUGGUUAGCUGUAACCGGGUAAUUUAGAAAAAGGGGUGUGGCCAAACAUACCCCAAAGCCUAUAAAACCUAAAGGAAAACUCAAAACUGUAUGAAACUCAGUGAAAUCAUGUAACAGGUGACUCUUAACAAGCAUGCAAAGUUUCAUGGAGAUCAGACCAUAGGUGGCGCUAUAACAGUAGAAAAGGUCUCAAAACACAAGAUUUAUAUGGUAAAGGGCCCCAAAUUGUUUGAAAAUGCUCAUAUAUUCACUCAAAAACACUAAAUCUUCAUAUCAUAUGAUAGAUCUCCUCAUUCUGAAUAACUUUGCCUCUGGGACCAAUGUUGUCAAUAAAGCUGUUAAUUAAAUAUUCAAGAUUAUUUUAAAAAGUUACUUUGGCAUACUUGUGAUACUGUUUAAGAUGAAAAUCAAUAAAACCACUGAAGUACAAUUCUCUAGACUCUGAAGGUCAAUAAUUAUCAAAAACAUGUUGAACAAUUGCAUUUGGACAACUAUAAACCAGUAAUUUUAUAAUAUGUUCUUUUCAUAGUGUACACAAAGGCCUAUUAAUACAAACAGAAAGCCCACACAUUAUCAAAACUGUGUAAAACAAUGCAUAAUUUCAUUCUAAACAAGCAUGCAAAAUUUAAGAGAGAUUGGGCAAAAAAAAAAAAAAACACUAUAACA